AUCCUUUUAUAGUUCAUAAGCAUGAUGAUUGGGUUUUCAUGCACAUGUAUGAGAUGUGCUUCCCACAAAUCUUGUAACAUCAGCACAUUACCCAUCUCACA